GACGAACGCUGGCGGCGUGCUUAACACAUGCAAGUCGAACGGAAAGGCCCUGCUUUUGUGGGGUGCUCGAGUGGCGAACGGGUGAGUAACACGUGAGUAACCUGCCCUUGACUUUGGGAUAACUUCAGGAAACUGGGGCUAAUACCGGAUAGGAGCUCCUGCUGCAUGGUGGGGGUUGGAAAGUUUCUGCGGUUGGGGAUGGACUCGCGGCUUAUCAGCUUGUUGGUUGGGUAGUGGCUUACCAAGGCUUUGACGGGUAGCCGGCCUGAGAGGGUGACCGGCCACAUUGGGACUGAGAUACGGCCCAGACUCCUACGGUAGGCAGCAGUGGGGAAUAUUGCACAAUGGGCGGAAGCCUGAUGCAGCAACGCUGCGUGCGGGAUGACGGCCUUCGGGUUGUAAACCGCUUUCGCCUGUGACGAAGCGUGAGUGACGGUAAUGGGUAAAGAAGCACCGGCUAACUACGUG
rnacentral:rRNA from 1 species